rnacentral:tRNA from 1 species
GGCCCCGUCGUCUAGUCUGGCCUAGGACGCCGCCCUUUCACGGCGGCAACACGGGUUCGAAUCCCGUCGGGGCUA